GACGAACGUUGGCGGCGUGCUUAAUACAUGCAAGUCAACUGAAGCACCGGUAGUAAUACUGGUGUGGAGGUGGCGCACGGGUGAGUAACACGUAGGUAAUCUGCCUUCAGGUCUGACAUAACCCCGAGAAAUCGGGGCUAAUAGCAGAUGAUGCAGCGGCUUGACAUCAAGACAGUUGUUAAAGCUUCGGCGCCUGAAGAUGAGCCUGCGUCUGAUUAGCUAGUUGGCGGAGUAAUGGCCCACCAAGGCUACGAUCAGUAACUGGUCUGAGAGGAUGAUCAGUCACACUGGAACUGAGACACGGUCCAGACUCCUACGGGAGGCAGCAGUAAGGAA
rnacentral:rRNA from 1 species